rnacentral:rRNA from 1 species
AGAACGAACGCUGGCGGCAGGCUUAACACAUGCAAGUCGAACGCCCUCGCAAGGGGGAGUGGCAGACGGGUGAGUAACACGUGGGAACAUACCCUUCGGUUCGGAACAACGCCGGGAAACUGGCGCUAAUACCGGAUACGGCUUUUGAGCGAAAGAUUUAUCGCCGAAGGAUUGGCCCGCGUUCGAUUAGCUUGUUGGUGAGGUAACGGCUCACCAAGGCGACGAUCGAUAGCUGGUCUGAGAGGAUGGCCAGCCACAUUGGGACUGAGACACGGCCCAAACUCCUACGGGAGGCAGCAGUGGGGAAUAUUGGACAAUGGCGCAAGCCUGAUCCAGCCAUACCGCGUGAGUGAUGACGGCCUUAGGGUUGUAAAGCUCUUUCGCACGCGACGAUAAUGACGGUAGCGUGAGAAGAAGCCCCGGCUAACUCGUGCCAGCAGCCGC